AGGAGAGAUGGCUUAAAGGGGUACGCGGGCUUCUUCUGCGUAUCCGCUCUAGGAUGGGACUGCGUCCGAUCAGGCUGUUGGCGGGGUAAUGGCCCACCAAACCUGUAACCGGUACGGGCCUUGAGAGAGGUGGCCCGGAGAUGGACACUGAGAGAAGGGUCCAGGUCCUACGGGGCGCAGCAGGCGCGAAACCUUCGCAAUGCGCGAAAGCGUGACGAGGUUAAUCCGAGUGACUUCCGCUGAGGAGGUCUUUUGUCAGCUGUAAAUAGGCAGGCGAAUAAGGGGAGGGCAAGCCUGGUGUCAGCCGCCGCGGUAAUACCAGCUCCUCGAGUGGUCGGGGCGAUUAUUGGGCCUAAAGCAUCCGUAGCCGGUUCCGUAGGUCCUCUGUUAAAUCCAACCGCUUAACGGUUGACCUGCAGAGGAUACCGCGGGACUAGGAGGCGGGAGAGGCGGACGGUACUCCGCGUGUAGGGGUAAAAUCCUUUGAUCCGCGGAAGACCACCAGUGGCGAAGGCGGUCCGCCAGAACGCGCUCGACGGUGAGGGAUGAAAGCUGGGGGAGCGAACCGGAUUAGAUACCCGGGUAGUCCCAGCCGUAAACGAUGCUAGCUAGAUGAUUCAUUCGCAAGUCGCGAAUGGAGUGUCGCAGGGAAGCCGUUA
rnacentral:rRNA from 1 species